rnacentral:rRNA from 1 species
ACGCUCGACACCUACGGGAGCAGCAGUGGGGAACAUUGCACAAUGGGGGAAACCCUGAUGCAGCGACGCCGCGUGAGCGAAGAAGUAUUUCGGUAUGUAAAGCUCUAUCAGCAGGGAAGAAACUGACGGUACCUGACUAAGAAGCACCGGCUAAAUACGUGCCAGCAGCCGGGUAAUCUGAGCGGGCUGGCAAGGC